rnacentral:rRNA from 1 species
GCACAAGCGGUGGAUCAUGUUGUUUAAUUCGAUGAUACGCGAAGAACCUUACCAGGUCUUGACAUCCCCUGCAAAGCUAUGGAGACAUAGUGGAGGUUAUCAGGGAGACAGGUGGUGCAUGGUUGUCGUCAGCUCGUGUCGUGAGAUGUUGGGUUAAGUCCCGCAACGAGCGCAACCCUUAUUGCUAGUUACCAUCAUUCAGUUGGGGACUCUAGCGAGACUGCCAGUGAUAAACUGGAGGAAGGUGGGGAUGACGUCAAAUCAUCAUGCCCCUUAUGACCUGGGCUACAAACGUGAUACAAUGGCUGAAACAAAGGGCAGCGAAGCAGUGAUGUGGAGCGAAACCCAAAAAAGCAGUCUCAGUUCGGAUUGAAGUCUGCAACUCGACUUCAUGAAGUCGGAAUCGCUAGUAAUCGCGGAUCAGAACGCCGCGGUGAAUACGUUCUCGGGGUUU